UACAUACUAGCUCAGAGGUAGAGCAAUCGACUUAAGAUCGAUCCGAUGCGGGUUCAAUUCCCGUGUGUGUUACCA
rnacentral:tRNA from 1 species